AGAGUUUGAUCAUGGCUCAGAUUGAACGCUGGCGGCAUGCCUUACACAUGCAAGUCGAACGUGAAAGGGGGGCAACCCCCGAGUAGAGUGGCGGACGGGUGAGUAAUACAUCGGAACGUGCCCAGUAGUGGGGGACAACCUCGAGAAAUCGAGGCUAAUACCGCAUACGACCUACGGGUGAAAGCGGGGGACCGCAAGGCCUCGCGCUAUUGGAGCGGCCGAUGUCCGAUUAGCUAGUUGGUAGGGUAAAAGCCUACCAAGGCAACGAUCGGUAGCUGGUCUGAGAGGACGACCAGCCACACUGGGACUGAGACACGGCCCAGACUCCUACGGGAGGCAGCAGUGGGGAAUUUUGGACAAUGGGGGCAACCCUGAUCCAGCCAUGCCGCGUGCGGGAAGAAGGCCUUCGGGUUGUAAACCGCUUUCGGCCGGAACGAAAUCGCCGGGGAGAACAUCUCCGGUGGAUGACGGUACCGAAGAAGAAGAC
rnacentral:rRNA from 1 species